AUACGUAGGGGGCGAGCGUUGUCCGGAAUUAUUGGGCGUAAAGGGUACGUAGGCGGUUUUUUAAGUCUGGUGUGAAAUUGGUGGGCUCAACCCACCCAAGCAUUGGAAACUGGAAAACUUGAGUCAUGGAGAGGAAAGUGGAAUUCCUAGUGUAGCGGUGAAAUGCGUAGAUAUUAGGAGGAAUACCGGUGGCGAAGGCGACUUUCUGGACAUGUACUGACGCUGAGGUACGAAAGUGUGGGGAGCAAACAGGAUUAGAUACCCUGGUAGUCCACGCCGUAAACGAUGAGUGCUAGGUGUUGGGGGUCAAACCUCGGUGCCGCAGUUAACACAUUAAGCACUCCGCCUGGGGAGUACGUGCGCAAGCAUGAAACUCAAAUGAAUUGACGGGG
rnacentral:rRNA from 1 species